rnacentral:lncRNA from 1 species
AGUGUAUGUUUUGCACUGCAGCCAUCACCCCUGGAUUCUGGAUGCAGAAGGAACAUUGUGGACAAGGGAUGGGGAGGAAGUAGAAAUAUGGUUCCAGUCUGGGGCUGAGUUUCAUCUUCCAAUCCAGGUUUUAUUGGUUUUUAAAACUUAAUUUUUGAAUAUUCAUUUGACUCCUGUGCUUGUUUCUCAAUUGCUUCAGAGGAAAAGGAUGGCUUUGUCAAACUUGUAUUUGUCCCUGGGGUAAAGGGCUUCAAUGCUGAGCAUCGAGCAUAAGGAGUUGGAGAAAGAGAUGUGGGUGAUUUACCUCUGCCAUAGAUAUCGGAUUGGCAAAAAUAAAUGAAUUUCAUCUGAAGAGAAUUAACACAAGCAUACACAUAUACACAGGAGUGCACAUAAAAAUUAAUCUUCAAGAGGAUAGAAACAGGGGAUGGUGUAGUUCCUGCCAUGAAGUACAGAUCAACUGGUACCAGAGAUUCAAAAUUGUGGAAUGGAUCAUGGGGAUUUCUCUCUUCCCUGUCAUAAAGAGUAAUUCAAUCAGGAAAACUGACAUGCAUUGUUGUAUUGUGGGUGCAACAGCUGAGAAGAUGAAAAAGACAUAGAGAAAGGGGAUAUUGGAAAUAAAAGGAUGUUAAAAUGAUAUAAUUUUUAAGAAGGUUGAGAAGGAAUAUGGGAUAUUUAUAUUCCUCUAAAUUUGAUAGAUAAUGAUGUCCACAAAGAAGAGUUUGCUGAAAUAAUUUUAAAUUUUGGUGAGCACAGACUAUCAAUGCCAAACGCAAUGGGUAAUUUUCUGUGUCAGCUUGGCUAGGCUGUGAUCUCCAAGUGUUUGUUCAAACAGCAAUCGUAGAUGUCCUUGUGAAGGUAUUUUUAGGUAAGAUUAACAUUUAAAUCAGUAGUCUUUGAGUAAAGCAGAUGACCUGCAAUAAUGUGAGUGGGUCUCAAAUUUGUUUUAAGUUGAAGGCCUUAAGAGAGAAAGAUUAAGGUCAUCCAUGAAAGAGGGAAUUCUGCUACCAGAUUGCAUUUGGACUCAAGCUGCAAUAUCAGCUCUUCCCUGGGUCUCCAACCUGACAGCCUGUCCUAUAGAUAAGAGCUUGCCAGUCCCCACAAUCACAUGACACAUGAGCCAGUCCUUUUUUUUUUAGCCAAUUCUUUAAAAUUCUUCUCCUCUCUCUCUCUCUCUCUCCCCCGCCUCUCCCUCUCUCUCUCCCUUCUUUCUCUGUGUAUACACAUGCACGCGUGCACGCGCGCACACACACACACACACACACACACUCAUCCUAUUAGUUCCGUUUCUCUGGAGAACCCAGACUAAUGUACUUCCUCAGUAAUUGUUUUAGCAUUCUGGAUUCUGUUACUUUACUAUCAGCCUUAAAAUUGCAAAAAGAAGAAGGAAAGUUUUAUCAACCAUUUCAGACACUAAGUUUUCAGCCUUUUGGGAUCAAGGAAAAUACAAUCCAUAUGUUUUGGACUCACUUGCUAUUAUCCAGAACAUUAUAUCGGAGAUGGUUUAAAAUUUCUGGCUGGUUCAAUAUACGCAAAUCAAUAAAUGUAAUCCAGCAUAUAAACAGAACCAAAGACAAAAACCACAUGAUUAUCUCAAUAGAUGCAGAAAAAGCCUUUGACAAAAUUCAACAACACUUCAUGCUAAAAACUCUCAAUAAAUUAGGUAUUGAUGGGACAUAUUUCAAAAUAAUAAGAGCUAUCUAUGACAAACCCACAGCCAAUAUCAUACUGAAUGGGCAAAAACUGGAAGCAUUCCCUUUGAAAACUGGCACAAGACAGGGAUGCCCUCUCUCACCACUCCUAUUCAACAUAGUGUUGGAAGUUCUGGCCAGGGCAAUUAAGCAGGAGAAGUAAAUAAAGGGUAUUCAAUUAGGAAAAGAGGAAGUCAAAUUGUCCCUGUUUGCAGACGACAUGAUUGUAUAUCUAGAAAACCCCAUUGUCUCAGCCCAAAAUCUCCUUAAGCUGAUAAGCAACUUCAGCAAAGUCUCAGGAUACAAAAUCAAUGUAAAAAAAUCACAGGCAUUCUUAUACACCAAUAACAGACAAACAGAGAGCCAAAUCAUGAGUGUACUCCCAUUCACAAUUGCUUCAAAGAGAAUAAAAUACCUAGGAAUCCAACUUACAAGGGAUGUGAAGGACCUCUUCAAGGAGAACUACAAACCACUGCUCAAGGAAAUAAAAGAGGAUACAAACAAAUGGAAGAACAUUCCAUGCUCAUGCGUAGGAAGAAUCAAUAUCAUGAAAAUGGCCAUACUGCUCAAGGUAAUUUACAGAUUCAAUGCCAUCCCCAUAAAGCUACCAAUGACUUUCUUCACAGAAUUGGAAAAAACUACUUUAAAGUUCAUAUGGAACCAAAAAAGAGCCCGCAUUGCCAAGGCAAUCCUAAGCCAAAAGAACAAAGCUGGAGGCAUCACACUACCUGACUUCAAACUAUACUACAAGGCUACAGUAACCAAAACAGCAUGGUACUGGCACCAAAACAGAGAUAUAGAUCAAUGGAACACAACAGAGCCCUCAGAAAUAAUGCCGCAUAUCUACAACUAUCUGACCUUUGACAAACCUGAGAAAAACAAGCAAUGGGGAAAGGAUUCCCUAUUUAAUAAAUGGUGCUGGGAAAACUGGCUAGCCAUAUGUAGAAAGCUGAAACUGGAUCCCUUCCUUACACCUUAUACAAAAAUCAAUUCAAGAUGGAUUAAAGACUUAAUCGUUAGACCUAAAACCAUAAAAACCCUAGAAGAAAACCUAGGCAUUACCAUUCAGGACAUAGGCAUGGGCAAG